GUCCAGACUCCUACGGGAGGCAGCAGUGGGGAAUAUUGCACAAUGGGGGGAACCCUGAUGCAGCGACGCCGCGUGGGUGAAGGAGCACCUCGGUGCGUAAAGCCCUAUCGGCAGGGAAGAAACAGACGGUACCUGACUAAGAAGCCCCGGCUAACUACGUGCCAGCAGCCGCGGUAAUACGUAGGUGGCAAGCGUUGUCCGGAUUUACUGGGUGUAAAGGGCGUGUAGCCGGGCUGACAAGUCAGAUGUGAAAUUCCGGGGCUCAACCCCGGACCUGCAUUUGAAACUGUUGGUCUUGAGUAUCGGAGAGGCAGGCGGAAUUCCUAGUGUAGCGGUGAAAUGCGUAGAUAUUAGGAGGAACACCAGUGGCGAAGGCGGCCUGCUGGACGACAACUGACGGUGAGGCGCGAAAGCGUGGGGAGCAAACAGGAUUAGAUACCCUAGUAUC
rnacentral:rRNA from 1 species